rnacentral:rRNA from 1 species
CAGCCGCCGCGGGAAAACGUAGGGUGCAAGCGUUAAUCGGAAUUACUGGGCGUAAAGCGUACGCAGGCGGUUAUAUAAGUCAGAUGUGAAAUCCCCGGGCUCAACCUGGGAACUGCAUUUGAGACUGUAUGGCUAGAGUGUGUCAGAGUGGGGUAGAAUUCCACGUGUAGCAGUGAAAUGCGUAGAUAUGUGGAGGAAUACCGAUGGCGAAGGCAGCCCCCUGGGAUAACACUGACGCUCAUGCACGAAAGCGUGGGGAGCAAACAGGAUUAGAUACCCCCGUAGUCCCUGUCUCUUAUAC